AGCAGCCGCGGUAAUUCCAGCUCCAAUAGCGUAUAUUAAAGUUGUUGCAGUUAAAAAGCUCGUAGUUGAAUUUCGGGGUCAGUAGGUUGGUCGUGCCACUGGUACGUACUGGCCUCACUGAUUCCUCCUUCCUGAUGAGCCGUAAUGCCAUUAAUUUGGUGUUGCGAGGAAUCUGGACUGUUACUUUGAAAAAAAUUAGAGUGUUUAAAGCAGGCUAACGCUUGAAUACAUUAGCAUGGAAUAAUGAAAUAGGACGUUCGAUCUUAUUUUGUUGGUUUCUAAGAUUGACGUAAUGAUUAAUAGGGAUAGUUGGGGGCAUUAGUAUUCAAUUGUCAGAGGUGAAAUUCUUGGAUUUAUUGAAGACUAACUACUGCGAAAGCAUUUGCCAAGGAUGUUUUCAUUAAUCAAGAACGAAAGUUAGGGGAUCGAAGACGAUCAGAUACCGUCGUAGUCUUAACCAUAAACUAUGCCGACUAGGAAUCAGACGAUGUUAAUUUUUAAUGACUCGUUUGGCACCUUA
rnacentral:rRNA from 1 species